rnacentral:rRNA from 1 species
AGGACGAACGCUGGCGGCGUGCUUAACACAUGCAAGUGGAGCGACGAACCGGGGCUUGCCCCGGGGCAGAGCCGCGAACGGGUGAGUAACACGUGGGUUACCUACCCCAAUGACCGGGACAACCCGAGGAAACUCGGGCUAAUACCGGAUGUGGUCUUCGGACGAAAGGAAGCUUCGGCCUCCGCAUUGGGAUGGGCCCGCGGCGCAUUAGCUUGUUGGUGGGGUAACGGCCUACCAAGGCGACGAUGCGUAGCUGGUCUGAGAGGACGAUCAGCCACACUGGGACUGAGACACGGCCCAGACUCCUACGGGAGGCAGCAGUGGGGAAUCUUGCGCAAUGCGCGAAAGCGUGACGCAGCAACGCCGCGUGGGGGAAGAAGGCCUUCGGGUUGUAAACCUCUUUCAGUUGGGACGAAGCUUCGCGGGUUAAUAGCCUGCUGGAGUGACGGUACCUUCAGAAGAAGCCCGGCUAACUACGUGCCAGCAGCCGCGGUAA